ensembl:lncRNA
AAGAUUUCUGGUUGGAGAUUCCUCCCUUCUGGAGUCUUUCCUGUGAGCCUAGUUUUUUUGGAGUUGUAAUACAUGUGCACCAAAAGCAAUGGCGAUUCACUGACCUGGAAACAGCAGGAAUGCACACAACUCCUUAGCACCUAAGCACCAGAUACAACCAAACUAUAGGACUGUGUUCCCUACUCUGUGUGUCUGUGUCCCUAGAGCUACCUGUGCCUGCAUGGAUGCAAGACCCAAAGAUUGCAAUUCCACAACCGUUCUUUUUUUUUUUUCCUCAUUGAAGCUUUGGCAUUGAAAGCAUCUCCUCUCAAUUAAUGUUUUAUUUUGGCAGUGGCCCACAGCAUGGCCUCUGGCAGUACAUAAAAACAGUGGUGGAUGAGCAAGAGACAUUUGUUUGGGAAUGCUUUUGUGUCUGAAGUUUGGGAAGAAGUUAAGAGUGAAAAAUAAAAAUACCACUACAACAGCUCAGAUGCUUUCAGCAGUGCUCUGCAGAGCUAUGAACUCAAACCCCAGCACCUGGAAGCCCAGGCAAGAGGCUUAUGCAUGUACUUCGCUCUUCAGAGCACGGCAGCAAGCGCUGGGAAGACACAGAAGCUUAAUAAUUGAGACAUUGACACUCGUAUUUUCCAUCUGUUCAGAACUGUCACACAGAUACUAUUUCAGAUCCUACCCAUGGUUAAAGCAGGAGGAUGUAUGUGCACAGACUUGCAGAGAAGCAGAUUUUCAGCGGAAUGUGUUCAGAUCAGACAUACAUGCGAACAGCGAGGGUGCAAUUCUGCUUAUACAUUAACACUGCAGCUUUUGACACCUUGCCAGGAUGACACAUAAAGGCAGAAAUGGCAAAGCUGACAUCCAGGCCUUAGCUCACCAUUGCUCAUUUUCUGUGUUUCUCGUGUGACAACCUCACUGUGUUUCACAGCAUUGCCAUGGACUGUGCAAGGCAAAGAGUGGGGGGACACCCCCAGCUCACUGACUGAAGCAUCCUUUGUAUUGCACUGGGCUCAGAUCAGAGUUUUUAAAAUUAAAAUGUCAGGAAAAAAAAAUUGAGAAAACUUCCUGGCAGGAGAGGAGGGUGUCUGCACCAGCUGUGCUCAUGCAUGAUAAGCUCCUGGCCCUCCAGCUGCUCUGGAGACCUUCCUGCAGCUCUAAUUCCUGCAAGCUUUAUUAGCAGCAUGAUGUGGGAUUGGAACAGGUUAGCAGGCUGCUGGUCAGACCUUCUGUUUGCAAGGUGUCUGCAAAAUUUCUAACAAGCUUCAGAUUAUUUUGGAAGCUGUAGUAUGCUGAGCUUUGUUAGCUGCCUUGGGAAUAGGAGCUCUCCCGCUGUGCUGUGAGGAAUAGCUAUUUAUGUAUCCUUAGAUCACAUUGUGCAUUUAACCUGGGAUUGCAGAGUUGGAAUCUGCUGUUUGAUGGUUUGGCAUUGAUUACAAUGAGAACAGAAAGAGUUUAGUGAAGAUCUCAUGGGGGAAAGAGGAAGAAAGCACCUCCUUAUCCUUGGUUCUAUAUAGGUUGGAGAGUCACUGGGUGCUCUGCUGCCCCCCGCUCCCAGCAAUCGGUGUAGCUGACAGCAGACCUAAGCCCCCCCUGCUAUGUGCUCCCUAACAGGGCUCUGAAUUUUGUCUCAUAAACACAGCCAUUGAUUUAAGUUGAUACAAAAGGUUUUGAGCCUUCCAGCUCCACUCUGGCCCCUGCAAUCACUGGGGAAUGGCAAUCCUGCUUGCAGCAUGGCCAGGUGAGGGUCAUAAAGAGGAAAAAGCAAUUCUGAUUUAUGAAAGUGGUAACAGAUAAACAGGUACCAUUUAACAGCUCUUCUACUAUAUCCUGGUCUAUAUAUCUUAUCCACGUAUCUUUAGAAUUUAUUCCAUUUCUUUUUUAAUUCAAAUUCAUUUUGAACUCAGUGCCAGGAGCACAUUGACACCAUGGAGGACUUUUAACAUUUUCAUUUGUCAUGUCAUCAACCUGCCUUGGAAUGAGCUUCACCCAAGGAGAAGGAAGACUGAUUCUUUGCCUUCUUUUUUGUUUUUAUUUAAUAGAGGGAGAAGAAAAAGAGGAGGGAGGGAAAGGGGCACUUCAUCAGUUCCUGUGGCUUUAGGAUUCAUUGGAAAAUAGGUUACCAAGAGGUGGUCCUUUUGAGGAGAUUCAACUGAUGCUAUGGUGUUCAAUUAAACUUAUUGAAAAGAAUAUUAAGAUACAAUUUAAUCACAGUUUGUGAGUACCUACAUGGGGAGAACAUCUGAUGUAAGAGGGUUCUUUAUUCUAACUGAAAAAAAAAACAACAUUAAAUUGCUGAAAGAUGAAUU